AUUGAACGCUGGCGGCAGGCCUAACACAUGCAAGUCGGACGGUAGCACAGAGGAGCUUGCUCCUCGGGUGACGAGUGGCGGACGGGUGAGUAAUGUCUGGGGAUCUGCCCGAUAGAGGGGGAUAACCACUGGAAACGGUGGCUAAUACCGCAUAACGUCGCAAGACCAAAGAGGGGGACCUUCGGGCCUCUCACUAUCGGAUGAACCCAGAUGGGAUUAGCUAGUGGGCGGGGUAACGGCCCACCUAGGCGACGAUCCCUAGCUGGUCUGAGAGGAUGACCAGCCACACGGGAACUGAGACACGGUCCAGGCUCCUACGGGAGGCAGCAGUGGGGAAUAUUGCACAAUGGGCGCAAGCCUGAUGCAGCCAUGCCGCGUGUAUGAAGAAGGCCUUCGGGUUGUAAAGUACUUUCAGCGGGGAGGAAGGCGAUGUGGUUAAUAACCGCGUCGAUUGACGUUACCCGCAGAAGAAGCACCGGCUAACUCCGUGCCAGCCGCCGCCGUAA
rnacentral:rRNA from 1 species